CUCGCGGCCUAUCAGCUUGUUGGUGAGGUAACGGCUCACCAAGGCAUCGGCGGGUAGCUGGUCUGAGAGGACGAUCAGCCACACUGGGAGUGAGACACGGCCCAGGACUCCUGCGGGAGGCAGCAGUGGGGAAUCUUGCGCAAUGGGCGAAAGCCUGACGCAGCAACGCCGCGUGGGGGAUGAAGGCUCUCGGGUUGUAAACCCCUUUCAGCAGGGGCGAAAUUGACGGUACCUGAAGAAGAAGCCCCGGCCAACUACGUGCCAGCAGCCGCGGUGACACGUAGGGGGCGAGCGUUGUCCGGAAUUAUUGGGCGUAAAGAGCUCGUAGGCGGUUUAGUAAGUCAGAUGUGAAAGGUUGGGGCUCAACCCUAAGACUGCAUCCGAUACUGCUAUGACUAGAGUCCGGUAGAGGAGUGUGGAAUUCCUGGUGUAGCGGUGAAAUGCGCAGAUAUCAGGAGGAACACCGACGGCGAAGGCAGCACUCUGGGCCGGUACUGACGCUCAGGAGCGAAAGCGUGGGUAGCAAACAGGAUUAGAUACCCUGGUAGUC
rnacentral:rRNA from 1 species